UACGGAGGGUGCGAGCGUUGUCCGGAUUUAUUGGGUUUAAAGGGUGCGUAGGCGGCCAAAUAAGUCUGGGGUGAAAGCCCGUUGCUCAACAACGGAACUGCCCUGGAUACUGUAUGGCUUGAGGACAGACGAGGUUGGCGGAAUGGAGGGUGUAGCGGUGAAAUGCAUAGAUACCCUCCAGAACCCCGAUUGCGAAGGCAGCUGACUAGACUGUAUCUGACGCUGAGGCACGAAAGCGUGGGGAGCGAACAGG
rnacentral:rRNA from 1 species